GCAGGGGGAGCCGACCCGACUCAGCCAGGAACGACACCAGCUCCCACCGGCCCAAGUAGCACAGGGCCAGGUACCAGGGCUGGGGGCACGAAAUCACUCUCAACCCCCCCAGAAACAGGUGGAUCGGAACCACGCGCAGCACCGGUUCUGACCUGCACCAUCCUCACCGGGGUGAGCGUGGCAGCUGACGGCUUCCUCCUCCUCCUCCUCCUCGCCUUCCUCUGCUACAGAAAAUCCCGAGGAAAUGCCCUCAUGGGCAAACGGAAGCAGAUGGAUGGCCUGCCCCUGGAGCCCGAUCCCAGCGCCGAGGGACUCACCUACACUGAGCUGGACUGCCAGGCACUGCAGGGCAAGUGGGGCGGCCCGGCCCCUGGCCCCGAGCCCGUCCUGUAUGCCAUGAUCAACGUGAACCAGGGGCUCAAUGGGCAUAGCCCCCAGGGUGCAGGGGCGCCCCCCCAUAGCGUGAACCCAGGGGGAGUUAUUGCAGUGAUGGGGCAGGGAGUGUCGGCCACCAGGGGGUGACAGAGUGAUUCCCCCCUGCAGAGAACGGGCUCAACUUAUAGCCCCCCAUAGCCCUCCCUCCAGCUGGUGCUGCCCCACCCAGUCCCACGGGUGGGGGGCCAGGAGGGCUCAGCACCGGGAGGGGGAGGGGACACGCCGAGG